GUAGGUGGCAAGCGUUGUCCGGAAUUAUUGGGCGUAAAGCGCGCGCAGGCGGUCCUUUAAGUCUGAUGUGAAAGCCCACGGCUCAACCGUGGAGGGUCAUUGGAAACUGGGGGACUUGAGUACAGAAGAGGAAAGCGGAAUUCCAAGUGUAGCGGUGAAAUGCGUAGAGAUUUGGAGGAACACCAGUGGCGAAGGCGGCUUUCUGGUCUGUAACUGACGCUGAGGCGCGAAAGCGUGGGGAGCAAACAGGAUUAGAUACCCUGGUAGUCCACGCCGUAAACCGAUGAGUGCUAGGUGUUAGGGGGUUUCCCGCCCCCCUUAGUGCUGCAGCUAACGCAUUAAGCACUCCGCCUGGGGAGUACGGCCGCAAGGCUG
rnacentral:rRNA from 1 species